rnacentral:lncRNA from 1 species
AAUUCAUUUUGAAUACUUCAAAGUGUCCUCAGCUUGACCUAAUUUUAUGGACCUCCGUUUCAGGUUCCUCGAGCAACCUUCAGCUUGCUAUAUAAACGCUCCCAUCGAAACGCUCACCUUGCCGAGGAGUUCUUAUUCAGAAACCCUAAUUCCAGUCUUUUUGUGCCCACGAUUUCACAGGGCUGUGUAUUUGCUCACUGUAUAAGCCGCACAACAGAAAACGCGCAAAUUACACAUAUUUCCAAGGAGCGAAAUGCUGAAAGUUAUAUUGAUUCCAGUGGCUUGUAUAUCUAUGUGCUCUGUACAAUAAUAGAGUGGCGUGCAGCAACAUAGAAGACUGCUCACUGAAGACUAAAGAUGAAAAAUGUCAUUUCCUUGGUAUGGAUUUAGGACCUGAUGAUUCUGGAAAUUCAGACAACCCUUGCAUUCACUACAAAUGCCUGUCAGGCCAACAUCAGGUUCU